UACGUAGGGUGCAAGCGUUAUCCGGAAUUAUUGGGCGUAAAGAGCUCGUAGGCGGUUUGUCGAGUCUGUUGUGAAAUCUCGAGGCUCAACCUCGGGUCUGCAGUGGGUACGGGCAGGCUGGAGUGCGGUAGGGGAGAGUGGAAUUCCUGGUGUAGCGGUGGAAUGCGCAGAUAUCAGGAGGAACACCGAUGGCGAAGGCAGUUCGCUGGGCCGUAACUGACGCUGAGGAGCGAAAGCGUGGGGAGCGAACAGG
rnacentral:rRNA from 1 species